GGCUCUGAGGUGUGUACACAUCGCCCGAUCGCUCUCGUCAUAGAUUCUUCAAUUUUAUUACUUUAAGUUAGCCUCGAUUCAGAUGAGAUAAGUCGGAACUUAGUAGACGUACUGGAAAGUGUAUCUAGGAAGAGUUUCA
rnacentral:rRNA from 1 species